rnacentral:rRNA from 1 species
UACGUAGGGACCGAGCGUUGUCCGGAAUCAUUGGGCGUAAAGAGCGUGUAGGCGGCCACUUAAGUCCUGCGUGAAAUCUUGCGGCUCAACCGCAAGCGGUCGUGGGAAACUGGGUGGCUAGAGUACGGAAGAGGCGAGUGGAAUUCCUGGUGUAGCGGUGGAAUGCGCAGAUAUCAGGAGGAACACCAAUAGCGAAGGCAGCUCGCUGGGACGUUACUGACACUGAGGCGCGAAAGCGUGGGGAGCGAACAGG